rnacentral:rRNA from 1 species
AGCAAACAGGAUUAGAUACCUGGUAGUUCACGCUGUAAACGAUGUCGAUUUGGAGUUUGUUGCCUAGAGUGAUGGGCUCCGAAGCUAACGCGAUAAAUCGACCGCUGGGGAGUACGGCCGCAAGGUUAAAACUCAAAUGAAUUGACGGGGGCCCGCACAAGCGGUGGAGCAUGUGGUUUAAUUCGAUGCAACGCGAAGAACCUUACCUGGUCUUGACAUCCAUAGAAUUCUGCAGAGAUGUGGGAGUGCCUUCGGGAACUAUGAGACAGGUGCUGCAUGGCUGUCGUCAGCUCGUGUUGUGAAAUGUUGGGUUAAGUCCCGCAACGAGCGCAACCCUUAUUCUUUGUUGCCAGCGAUUUGGUCGGGAACUCAAAGGAGACUGCCGUUGAUAAAGCGGAGGAAGGUGGGGACGACGUCAAGUCAUCAUGGCCCUUACGACCAGGGCUACACACGUGCUACAAUGGCGUAUACAAAGGGAAGCGAAGGUGCGAGCUGGAGCGGAUCUCAUAAAGUACGUCUAAGUUCGGAUUGGAGUCUGCAACUCGACUCCAUGAAGUCGGAAUCGCUAGUAAUCGUAGAUCAGAAUGCUACGGUGAAUACGUUCCCGGGCCUUGUACACACCGCCCGUCACACCAUGGGAGUGGGUUGCACCAGAAGUAGAUAGCUUAACCGCGAGGGGGGCGUUUACCACGGUGUGAUUCAUGACUGGGGUGAAGUCGUAACAAGGUAACCA